rnacentral:lncRNA from 1 species
GGAGAACUGCCUGUGGGCCUCCUGGGUAGGGAAAUGCAGGCGCUGGGCAAAGUCCUGGUGGCUAUGUGAACACGUUCUGUACCAAGGCUUUUGCAAACGGGUAUCUCUCAUCUCUCCCCAGACCUUCUCUCUCAGACCCGAGUCACCGCAGAUGCAUAGAAAUCCAGAAAUGGGGGCUGAAUGCUGCUCCGCAGAGCUCCUUGUGUCUAUCCUCUCUGCUUCUCUCACCAUGAUGAGCCUCUCCCUCUGGUCCUCAGCGACUGUACCACACUGUGGCACUGAUAGGAUUCCAAGAUUCAGCAAGAAAAAUAUAGGAUGCCGAGUUAAAUUUGAAUUUCAGAUAAACAAGUAAUUUUUUAGUGUGUCUCAACCGGACAUGCUGUCUUUUAUCUGGCAUCCCUUUUCACCGAGUGUAUACAUAGGAUCUGCUGGGGAAGCUCCCUGCCUUCCUACGGGAUUCCCC